rnacentral:sRNA from 1 species
ACUCGGCAUGGAAGGGUCGGGCCCUAAAAAGCCCGCCCGACCUACCUUCACACCCUUGUGUAUCCACCGUGUUGCUUUGGCGGGCCGACCCGGUUCUGACCCGGGCGGCCGGCGCCCCCAGCCCAGAUCCUGGGCCAGGACGCCCGGCUAAGCGUCCGCCAGUAUAUAAAACUCCAGCGAUUAUCUCAUGUAGUCCUGAGAAUUCAUUCAAUGAAAUAAAACUUUCAACAACGGAUCUCUUGGUUCUGGCAUCGAUGAAGAACGCAGCGAAAUGCGAUAAGUAAUGUGAAUUGCAGAAUUCAGUGAAUCAUCGAAUCUUUGAACGCACAUUGCGCCCCUUGGUAUUCCGGGGGGCAUGCCUGUUCGAGCGUCAUUUCAACCCUCAAGCUCUGCUUGGUAUUGGGCGACGUCCGCUGCCGGACGCGCCUAGAAGACCUCGGUGACGGCGUUCCAGCCUCGAGCGUAGUAGUAAAAUAUCUCGCUUUGGAGGAGGGGGCGACGGCCGCCGGACAAACGACCUCUGGUCAUCAUUCUUUCCAAGG